GAUGAACGCUGGCGGCGUGCCUAAUACAUGCUAGUCGAGCGAACGGACGAGAAGCUUGCUUCUCUGAUGUUAGCGGCGGACGGGUGAGUAACACGUGGAUAACCUACCUAUAAGACUGGGAUAACUUCGGGAAACCGGAGCUAAUACCGGAUAAUAUUUUGAACCGCAUGGUUCAAAAGUGAAAGACGGUCUUGCUGUCACUUAUAGAUGGAUCCGCGCUGCAUUAGCUAGUUGGUAAGGUAACGGCUUACCAAGGCAACGAUGCAUAGCCGACCUGAGAGGGUGAUCGGCCACACUGGAACUGAGACACGGUCCAGACUCCUACGGGAGGCAGCAGUAGGGAAUCUUCCGCAAUGGGCGAAAGCCUGACGGAGCGACGCCGCGUGAGUGAUGAAGGUCUUCGGAUCGUAAAACUCUGUUAUUAGGGAAGAACAUAUGUGUAAGUAACUGUGCACAUCUUGACGGUACCUAAUCAGAAAGCCACGGCUAACUACGUGCCAGCAGCCGCGGUAAUACGUAGGUGGCAAGCGUUAUCCGGAAUUAUUGGGCGUAAAGCGCGCGUAGGCGGUUUUUUAAGUCUGAUGUGAAAGCCCACGGCUCAACCGUGGAGGGUCAUUGGAAACUGGAAAACUUGAGUGCAGAAGAGGAAAGUGGAAUUCCAUGUGUAGCGGUGAAAUGCGCAGAGAUAUGGAGGAACACCAGUGGCGAAGGCGACUUUCUGGUCUGUAACUGACGCUGAUGUGCGAAAGCGUGGGGAUCAAACAGGAUUUGAUACCCUGGUAGUCCACGCCGUAAACGAUGAGUGCUAAGUGUUAGGGGGUUUCCGCCCCUUAGUGCUGCAGCUAACGCAUUAAGCACUCCGCCUGGGGAGUACGACCGCAAGGUUGAAACUCAAAGGAAUUGACGGGGACCCGCACAAGCGGUGGAGCAUGUGGUUUAAUUCGAAGCAACGCGAAGAACCUUACCAAAUCUUGACAUCCUUUGACAACUCUAGAGAUAGAGCUUUCCCCUUCGGGGGACAAAGUGACAGGUGGUGCAUGGUUGUCGUCAGCUCGUGUCGUGAGAUGUUGGGUUAAGUCCCGCAACGAGCGCAACCCUUAAGCUUAGUUGCCAUCAUUAAGUUGGGCACUCUAAGUUGACUGCCGGUGACAAACCGGAGGAAGGUGGGGAUGACGUCAAACCAUCAUGCCCCUUAUGAUUUGGGCUACACACGUGCUACAAUGGACAAUACAAAGGGCAGCGAAACCGUGAGGUCAAGCAAAUCCCAUAAAGUUGUUCUCAGUUCGGAUUGUAGUCUGCAACUCGACUACAUGAAGCUGGAAUCGCUAGUAAUCGUAGAUCAGCAUGCUACGGUGGAUACGUUCCCGGGUCU
rnacentral:rRNA from 1 species